GUAGAGGAAGUGUUCCCCAAUCAGACAUAAUAUCCAUUUUAAGGGUACAUUCAGGUAAUGGAGUUGCAAUUACUUCAUGUAACAUUUGUUCAAACAGUCCAAUUACAUCUAGUUUACUUUAACUCCAUCCACAGAAACUACAUGUAGUCCCCCAUCUAACUAUAGCUCCUUUACAAGGUGUCCUGCUUGUUACUAUAUUUUCUCCAGGUGGAAGAAUUCCUUGUAAAUCUGGAAGUCUGUUUUUGGUGUGCUUCAUUGUACUGACUGGUACCAAGACUUUUUUGGAUGUGCAGAAAUCUGACUCCCUUUCAGCUAUAAAAGCUGGAAAUAUUACAAUAAGUUCUUAUUUAAAUGGCCAUAAAGAGGUGAAAGAAUGAAGAAAAGUGGUCCACAAGAUCUGGAAAGGUCAGAGGUCAACUGUAGCAGCAGGAAAUAUGUUCAAGAAAGAAGAAUCCAUGUGACAUUAUUUGAACAAAUCAAAGAUACACAGACGUUCUUUGGAACAGGAAGACCUCCUCCAUAGUUGAUAUGCCCGCAGACCAUGAAGUUAAGGAAAAUAAAAAGGAGGGAUCAGCAGUUUUACA
rnacentral:lncRNA from 1 species